rnacentral:lncRNA from 1 species
CAAAAUUGGUUACAUUUUAAAGGGAAAUUCAGUAUCUUUCCUGGGAGGAUACUUGUCACUGAUUCCAACAGUCAGAACACAAAAUAUCAGUCUUGUUUCCCCAGAAAGAAGCAGCUUUUUUCUGUCUUAUUCUGAAAUCAGAAUCUAGUGGGUUUACUUGAGAAUUCCCAUAAGACAUUUUCUUGAAACCUCCACUCAACUUUUGAGAUGGAGAAUCAAAGCAUAAAGUAUGUAGCUUUGGGUCAGAGCGAUCCCUUUGGCAAUAAUGUCAACGAAGGAACCAUUGGCGA